ensembl:snoRNA
GGCCUCAAGUGAUGGAGAUGACAACCUGGGAGUACUGUGACCGAACUGGGAUGUAUUCGUACUGUCUGAUGGGGCC